rnacentral:rRNA from 1 species
AAUAGAUACCCGGGUAGUCCACGCCGUAAACGAUGAGUGCUAAGUGUUAGAGGGUUUCCGCCCUUUAGUGCUGCAGCUAACGCAUUAAGCACUCCGCCUGGGGAGUACGGCCGCAAGGCUGAAACUCAAAGGAAUUGACGGGGGCCCGCACAAGCGGUGGAGCAUGUGGUUUAAUUCGAAGCAACGCGAAGAACCUUACCAGGUCUUGACAUCCUCUGCCAACCCUAGAGAUAGGGCGUUCCCCUUCGGGGGACAGAGUGACAGGUGGUGCAUGGUUGUCGUCAGCUCGUGUCGUGAGAUGUUGGGUUAAGUCCCGCAACGAGCGCAACCCUUGAUCUUAGUUGCCAGCAUUCAGUUGGGCACUCUAAGGUGACUGCCGGUGACAAACCGGAGGAAGGUGGGGAUGACGUCAAAUCAUCAUGCCCCUUAUGACCUGGGCUACACACGUGCUACAAUGGAUGGUACAAAGAGCAGCGACCCGCGAGGGUAAGCCAAUCUCAUAAAGCCAUUCUCAGUUCGGAUUGUAGG